rnacentral:lncRNA from 1 species
CUAUUAAAAAUACAUUAGCCUGGUGUGGAUGGUAAUGGGCCAAAUGCUGCUGGUUUUGAAGGCAAUCUGGGAAGCCUCAUGCUCUCUCUGACUUGAUAGCUGAGCAAGUGAGUGCUGGAGUUUUACCAUUAGGCUGAAUGGAGACAAACUGCAAGUCAGCCGAACUGUGAAUCUGUCACACUGGACAGUUCUUGACCACUGAGAAUGGUGUGGAAAUGCCCCGGAGCCAAGGUAGCUGUGAGAGGAGUUGCUGCAUGACAGGGAACAUGAAUGAUGCCAUUCAAUUGGUAAGUUCUCAUGCUGGAUCUUCGAAAGUAAAAAAAAAUCCUUAGCCUUUUCAGGCUGACUUCCCCUUGUCCAAGCCAGGGAACACAACCACUGCAGUUAGCUCUACCACUCCACUGAUAGAGUGCUUUCUACUAGCAAUAGCAGCAAUAAUACAUGAGCUGUCUUUGAGCUCGCAUAACUUCAUGGAGAGGAUUGCUCGCAGUGGAGGAAGUGAGCACCAGGCUGCCUUCUUGCUUCACCUCCGAGUGCCACUUUCCAGUAGGUGAGCACCUGUGGAGGCCAACGCCAGCUGCAAGUUGCUGGGCAGCCAGCUGCGAUGGCUGAGUGCCUUGCAGGCACUGCUUUCACAUUCUCCUUGGCCUGGAGGAAGCACUAGAAAGCUGGUGGAGAUCCAGGUACCGAGAUUCAGAGUAUUGCAAAGAAGAAGGAGCUUGCCUGUUUUGUAUUGGCAAGUUCCCUUAGCAGAGUGCGGAUUCACACAGGUCCUGGGGCUGCCGUGUAAACCUUGGGUUAUUUGUAACGUCUUUCCUAAAUUUCCAAACUUGCUAACUUAAACUUCCUGUAACUACAUUCCAAGAGCUCUCACCUCACCCUUCUUGGAAAUACAUAUCCA